CCUACGGGUGGCAGCAGUGAGGAAUAUUGGUCAAUGGGCGCGAGCCUGAACCAGCCAAGUCGCGUGAAGGAUGACUGCCCUACGGGUUGUAAACUUCUUUUAUAAAGGAAUAAAGUGAGGCACGUGUGCCUUUCUGUAUGUACUUUAUGAAUAAGGAUCGGCUAACUCCGUGCCAGCAGCCGCGGUAAUACGGAGGAUGCAAGCGUUAUCCGGAUUUAUUGGGUUUAAAGGGUGCGCAGGCGGAAGAUCAAGUCAGCGGUAAAAUUGAGAGGCUCAACCUCGUCGCGCCGUUGAAACUGGUUGGCUUGAGAGUGUGAGAGGUAUGCGGAAUGCGUGGUGUAGCGGUGAAAUGCAUAGAUAUCACGCAGAACUCCGAUUGCGAAGGCAGCAUACCGG
rnacentral:rRNA from 1 species